UUGUAAAGCACUUUCAGUGGGGAGGAGGGUUAUUUGGUUAAGAGCUGAGUAACUGGACGUUACCCACAGAAGAAGCACCCGGCUAACUCCGUGC
rnacentral:rRNA from 1 species